GCGUACUGAGUAAAUUAUGUGGGGUCCACCGUGAUUUACAUAUUUUACCCACUCCGUCCAUCCAUUUUAACAGAUAAUUUGAGGGCUUUAGCCCAAAAACUAAGUAUAUCCAAAUCUCAAGUGGACCUUACCACGGGAAACAGUGUGAAUUGAAAUUAUACCGUCUAAAAUCCCAUCAGGGCAAAGAAAUUCUGCAUCAAUCUGUUAUUUGUGUUUUUCCUUCAUCCAUGUCUUUGUGAUCUUAUGAACGGGUUGGAUGACAAAUAAACAUCACUGUAGGCCCUACCAAGGUUUGAACUGUGGAAAUCAUUAUUACCAUUGUUUCAUGUGGUGUGGUCCGCCACAUCGUCAUUCUAUGUGGGGAUGAAAUGUGGCCAGAAAUGUGUAUUUUUUUU